ACUUGAUCUUUCUAUAAUGAGAAAUAGGUGACUCCAUUUGCUAUGUUGUCACGCUCUGCAGCUGGAAUAAGAGGAUCAACAUUGAUAAUCAACAUGCCCGGUAAUCCUAAUGCGGCAACUGAAUGCAUAGAGGCCUUGAUGCCUGCCCUUAAGCAUGCGAUGAAGCAGUUAAAAGGAGAUAAAAGAGAGAAACAUCCUCGUCAUGUUCCCCAUGCACAGGCAGAGCCUGUGGAUACUUGGGAAAGAAGUUAUAUGUUAGCUUCUGGGAGUUCUGAAUCUAAUUGCUGUUGUUCACAUUGAAGCUCUUGGAAUUGGAGGAAUUGAAACAAGGCAUUCUUCAUCAAACCUGACAACUCUUGGGGAAUGAACUAUUUGGGAGAGUCAUUGGAUACUUGGAAAAGAAGUCAUCUUCUGGGAGUUCCUGAGUCAAAGUUGUUCUUGUUUAGAUCGAAGUUUUUGAAAUUAAAAUGAAGUAUUCUCCAUCAAACAUGGCAAUCCUUGGGGAAUGAACCAAGUGAAGAAGCUACUUUAUACAAAGGCAUAUGCAAAUCCCCACCUAUUACUAAUAAAGGUCGUUAGAACGAACCCUGAUACACGUUUUUUUCGGAAAACAUCAACUACUGUUCAGAUUUGAACUCUAAAACAAGGGAAAUCGAAUUUGGUCCCCACAAGACCAUCUUCACACUGUCGUCGUAGUCCCUUGCAGCCGUGCAUUGGGAAUAUCUCUCCAUAAAAAACGGCUAUAAAAGCCUGUGAGGACCAAAUCUGAACUCAAAACAAAAUAGUUUACGGAGCUUGCAUGGAUUGAGACAAUGGCUUAAAUAUCAUAAUAAAUAGUUUACAUCUGCCAUGUUUUCUCUCACUUGGCAGAAAGAAAGCAGUGUUGUUGUACUUACUGGCUCAUGAGUCAUGUCUACCUAUUUGGUUUUAUCAGAUGUUAGUUGUAUAUACAGUGAGACUUUCUUUAUGUAAUGAAGUUGAUUGAUGUUGUAAUAAUAAAUUAAUAACAUUCCUUGUA